ACAAAUGAAGACAGGCUGGAAGUGUCUUGCUAGUGGCCUCCUGACUGCUCCAGUUUUGUCCAGUCGAGAUGAGAAAGGCAGGCACCAUGCCCAAGAUGGGUCUCGAGGACAUUUCACCACAUAGCAUUAAUCUGGGGUGCUUUGGUGCCCUCAUGGGCUCUAGGUGCUGCUUGUCACCCCUGGCUGACUCUUGUUGACUCUCUUCCCUUUGCUGCCACUCUCAGCAUGUCAGCUGAACUGUUCCGACCAUGGCCACUGUGACUCGUUCACCAAACGCUGUAUCUGUGACCCUUUUUGGAUGGAGAAUUUCAUCAAGGUGCAGCUGAGGGAUGGAGAAAGCAACUGUGAGUGGAGCGUGUUAUAUGUUAUCAUUGCUACCUUUGUCAUUGUUGUUGCCUUGGGAAUCCUGUCUUGGAC
rnacentral:sRNA from 1 species